rnacentral:rRNA from 1 species
AGAGUUUGAUCAUGGCUCAGGACGAACGCUGGCGGCGUGCUUAACACAUGCAAGUCGAGCGGCAGCGCGGGGCAACCUGGCGGCGAGCGGCGAACGGGUGAGUAAUGCAUCGGAACGUGUCCAUGUCGUGGGGGAUAGCCCGGCGAAAGCCGGAUUAAUACCGCAUACGCCCGAGAGGGGAAAGUGGGGGACCGCAAGGCCUCACGCGAUUGGAUCGGCCGAUGUCCGAUUAGCUAGUUGGCGGGGUAAAGGCCCACCAAGGCGAUGAUCGGUAGCUGGUCUGAGAGGAUGAUCAGCCACACUGGGACUGAGACACGGCCCAGACUCCUACGGGAGGCAGCAGUGGGGAAUUUUGGACAAUGGGGGCAACCCUGAUCCAGCCAUUCCGCGUGAGUGAAGAAGGCCUUCGGGUUGUAAAGCUCUUUUGUCCGGAACGAAACGGGCGACGUGAAUAUCGUUGUCUACUGACGGUACCGGAAGAAUAAGCACCGGCUAACUACGUGCCAGCAGCCGCGGUAAUACGUAGGGUGCGAGCGUUAAUCGGAAUUACUGGGCGUAAAGCGUGCGCAGGCGGUUUUGUAAGCCGGAUGUGAAAUCCCCGGGCUUAACCUGGGAAUGGCAUUCGGGACUGCAAGGCUGGAGUGCGGCAGAGGAGACUGGAAUUCCUGGUGUAGCAGUGAAAUGCGUAGAUAUCAGGAGGAACACCGAUGGCGAAGGCAGGUCUCUGGGCUGACACUGACGCUCAUGCACGAAAGCGUGGGGAGCAAACAGGAUUAGAUACCCUAGUAGUCC